CGGGGAGUGAAUCCCCUGAAUCUGAAUUAUCCAGCUCUACAGGAUCAGACCCAGAUCCAACUUAGAAUGCAUCGUCCAUUAAUGAGGAAGCUUUAAGAAGCUCAGACAAAGCUUCAGCUUGUGAGAAAUUGUCCAGAGAUAGCAAACAGGCAAGUGUAUCAUUCACAAACACAAGAUCAAAGACAAAAAACUAUGACCAUAAAAAUGUUAUACUAAAAUGGAGGACAGCAAACGAGCAUGGGACAAACACUAUAGGCUUUAUCGAAGUCUUUAUGGGGACUUGGUAACUGUAUUAGAUUGGAUAACUAUAUAUAUAAUUGUAAACCCUCUACUUUGAAUUCGCAGAUAUAAUUACACACUUUCAUUAUGUCUUCCUUUCCAAUACUGCAUAGUAUGAGGUGCCACUUCCUGUUUUCUCAGUUUUUGUUUUUUCAGAUGAAGGCUUGGACUCCUUCCCAGAAAACAGACUUGACCAGAGGGAUGAGGAUGGGGGCUCAGUUAAAAGUCCCUCCAGGAUUGACACCCCUGCCCCACAGAGGAGAGAGAAACAAGGCAGUGAGGUGGAUGAUGAUGAGAGCCCAGAAACAAACCUGGCUGAAGGGCUCCCACAGAAGAAAAGUGGACAAAAGAAGGCAGCAAUGAAAUAAACAUAGAUGGCCCAGCACAUGCUCCUUUUAGAUGUGAGGACGAGAUGGAACUCUCUGUAUUUGAUGAUGAAGAGAUUUUGUGAACAGUUUCCUGCUAUCUAUGCUGCAGCUAUAGACCAACAGCUUAGAAAGCCCAUGGAGAAAGAGAAACUGGCCAGAAUGGGCAAAAAGGACCUGAGGAAAGCAGAGGAGUUUGUGCUGCUGAUGAAGAUGCAUUACACAUCCACACUUGCUGUCUCCAGCGAAAAAAGUCCAACCUGUGGCCAGAUAUUGCCCAUCCUUCAGAAACUGCGCAAACAUUACACAGUGCAGGCAGACGACUCUGCAUUCGUCAGGAGCGUUAAGGAGAACAUCUGGAAUGAUCUUUCCAAACGUUACCGGUACAGUCACUGACAUGAUGAUGAUAUCCAGGCAUUUCUGGGGGAAGCCAAUGUGUUAGAUCCCAGAUUUAAAUCUAAAAUGGACAGGGAUGAAAUCUAGGACAGGGUCAGGGUAUCAGCAGUGGCAGCAAACACAGAGGCAGUUGAGAAGCUGUCAGAGCCAAGAGAGACACAGGGGCAGGCAGAAGAAGAGGAUGGAGAAGAAGAAGAAGAAGAAGAGGAGGACUACAUAAGUUGAUUACGCCACCUGUAAAGCAGAAAAAGAGGACAGCCCUAGAGGAACUUUUUGAAGAAGAGGACAGCCAGCUGCUUUCCAUGCAGCAGCAGCCCCCGGUCUCCACAGUGGAUCAAGAAAUCCAGCUUUAUAGAAGCCUUCCUCCCAUUCCAACCAAAGACAGUGCCAGUUUCUGGUGGUGGAAGAAGAGUGACACAUUGCCAGUGUUGUCAGCUCUAGCUGAGAAGUAUCUCUGUGUCCAAGCGUCCUCCACCCCUUCUGAAAGGGUGUUCUCCACUGCUGGAGACACCCUAAGUCCAGAAAGAUCUCGUAUCCUUCCUGAGAGGGUAAACAUGAUAAUUUUUCUGCACAAAAAUUGUUAAUUGAUAGUUGUGGUCUUAUCUUUACAGAAGACUUCUUUGUAUUUUUUUAUGUCAGUUGAAUUUUGUUUCAAGUUGAUUCCAAAUGAGCAUUGUUAAUAUUCCAAAAGGCACAAGCUCUUCCUUGACUGUUUUCAGUCUGUGUUUUUAAUUUUUAUGUCACAUAAUGGCAGCUGGGCUUAAAAAGCCAAAACAUUUAUUUUUUUGUCUGGACCAAUAACCAAUGCUCUGUGCUGUGUCUAUUAA